UUCAAUGGAGUGUCCACAUUGGUCAAGGC
rnacentral:misc_RNA from 1 species